CGGCGGACGGGUGAGUAACACGUGGAUAACCUACCUAUAAGACUGGGAUAACUUCGGGAAACCGGAGCUAAUACCGGAUAAUAUAUUGAACCGCAUGGUUCAAUGGUGAAAGACGGUUUUGCUGUCACUUAUAGAUGGAUCCGCGCCGCAUUAGCUAGUUGGUAAGGUAACGGCUUACCAAGGCAACGAUGCGUAGCCGACCUUAGAGGGUGAUCGGCCACACUGGAACUGAGACACGGUCCAGACUCCUACGGGAGGCAGCAGAC
rnacentral:rRNA from 1 species